UACAACCAUAUCAUGUUGAAACACUGGUUCUCCUUCAUUCACCAAAGUUAAGCAAUGUUCAGGCUAGUACUCGGAUGGGUGACCAUUGGGGAAUACCAGGGGCUGUAAG